ensembl:snoRNA
UAUUAAGGCUGAACCUAUCCCGAACCUGAUUCCUGUAAGAUUGACAACCCUGUCGGAUCUGACUUCUGAAAU